GCUAGGAUCGAUAGAUCUCAUCUUGAUGUAUAUCCCACUCCUAUAAUGGACCAACUAUCGCCAACAUCUACUACAAUGGCUCAUUGAGACCUAUGUUAAUAGUCAGUCAAACUCCAGCAGCAUCACUACGAGCAGUAGUGCCAUCUCCGAUCAAAAGACCAAUCAUACAACUGCAGCAUCGAGAAAGUCACUAAUGAGUGAGCAGACAUCCAUGUGACUUCUCAUAUUGGUCACGCUCAGUGCUAGUUGUUCUCU
rnacentral:lncRNA from 1 species